rnacentral:rRNA from 1 species
CUGCUGCCUCCCGUAGGAGUCUGGUCCGUGUCUCAGUACCAGUGUGGGGGACCUUCCUCUCAGAACCCCUACGCAUCGUCGCCUCGGUGGGCCGUUACCCCGCCUACUGCCUAAUGCGCCGCAUGCCCAUCCCUGUCCGGCCGAAGCCUUUCCUGCCUCCGGGAUGCCCGGUGGCAUGUACGCGGGUUUAGCCCGCCUUUCGGCGGGUUGUCCCCCUGACAGGGGCAGGUUGCAUACGUGUUACUCACCCGUGCGCCGGUCGCCGGCGGAGAAACG